rnacentral:rRNA from 1 species
AACGCUAGCUACAGGCUUAACACAUGCAAGUCGAGGGGCAGCAUGGUCUUAGCUUGCUAAGGCUGAUGGCGACCGGCGCACGGGUGAGUAACACGUAUCCAACCUGCCCUUCAGUAAGGGAUAGCCUUUCGAAAGAAAGAAUAAUACCUUAUGUGGUCGUCAGAAGACAUCAGACGACGAUCAAAGAUUUAUCGCUGAAGGAUGGGGAUGCGUCCCAUUAGAUAGUAGGCGGGGUAACGGCCCACCUAGUCUUCGAUGGAUAGGGGUUCUGAGAGGAAGGUCCCCCACAUUGGAACUGAGACACGGUCCAAACUCCUACGGGAGGCAGCAGUGAGGAAUAUUGGUCAAUGGGCGAGAGCCUGAACCAGCCAAGUAGCGUGCAGGAUGACGGCCCUAUGGGUUGUAAACUGCUUUUAUAAGGGAAUAAAGUGAGCCUCGUGAGGCUUUUUGCAUGUACCUUAUGAAUAAGGACCGGCUAAUUCCGUGCCAGCAGCCGCGGUAAUACGGAGGAUUCGAGCGUUAUCCGGAUUUAUUGGGUUUAAAGGGAGCGUAGAUGGAUGUUUAAGUCAGUUGUGAAAGUUUGCGGCUCAACCGUAAAAUUGCAGUUGAUACUGGAUAUCUUGAGUGCAGUUGAGGCAGGCGGAAUUCGUGGUGUAGCGGUGAAAUGCUUAGAUAUCACGAAGAACUCCGAUUG